UUACAUUCAUAUUAAACCUUUGGAAGUCAGCGAGACGCCCGGAAGAAGCUGCUGGGCCCGCUAAGAUCAGAGCGCUGGAGCUGAAAAACACAGCGACCCCAGCUGGACAAAAGGAACUACUGCUUCAGACUUACUACAUGGUGAAGCUGAUUGUCUACAUGUGCCAGGAUUGGUUUGCUCUGCAAAAAGGACGUCUGGAGAUGGACGUCUGGGUUGCUCCUAAUGGGUGCUCGUCUGCAAAGGGAGAUUUGAAGCUCUAUUUACAUAUUCCCACCAGGCUGUCAGAGAUGUACUGGGUUUAAUGUGUUUAAAGCAGUGAUGCUGCUUAAUUAAAAGGC